rnacentral:rRNA from 1 species
CCUACGGGUGGCAGCAGUGAGGAAUAUUGGUCAAUGGACGCAAGUCUGACCCAGCGAUGCCGCGUGCAGGAAGACGGCUCUAUGAGUUGUAAACUGCUUUUGUACGAGGGUAAACGCAGAUACGCGUAUCUGUCUGAAAGUAUCGUACGAAUAAGGAUCGGCUCACUCCGUGCCAGCAGCCGCGGUAAUACGGAGGAUUCAAGCGUUAUCCGGAUUUAUUGGGUGUAAAGGGUGCGUCGGCGGUCGGAUAAGUUAGAGGUGAAAUCCCGAGGCUCAACUUCGGAAUUGCCUCUGAUACUGGUCGGCUAGAGAGUAUGUGCGGUAGGCGGAAUGUAUGGUGUAGCGGUGAAAUGCUUAGAGAUCAGACAGAACACCGAUUGCGAAGGCAGCUUACC